rnacentral:rRNA from 1 species
GGGUUAGUAGUUUGGUCGUGCCAAUGGUAUGUACUGGGCUCACUGAUUCCUCCUUCCUGAUGAAUUGUAAUGCCAUUAAUUUGGUGUUGCAGGGAAACAGGACUGUUACUUUGAAAAAUUAGAGUGUUUAAAGCAAGCUAACGCUUGAAUACAUUAGCAUGGAAUAAUGAAAUAGGACGUUCGAUCCUAUUUUGUUGGUUUCUAGGAUUGACGUAAUGAUUA